CGUCAAAAUUUUUUGUCUUGUUAAUUGAUCUCUGAAUUUUUUUUCCUGAUUUUUGGCGUACUUGAAGCAUAUACAAAUAAAUUUGAUAGUCAGAUCAUUGAAAUUAGUUUCGUAGAAUGCAUAUUCCAUCGAAACAAUAGAUUCAUUAACAUUUAAAAGUUUAUUUAUACUUUCAUUAAGUAUAACAUAAGAUUUUGUGGUAUUCACUGGUGUAAAUAUUUUAAAUUGAAGAUCGAAUUCAUUCAUUGUAUUCAUAUAGGAUCAAGGAAUGUAAUAAAAAAUCAUAAAAAACAGAGUUAAAAUUACCGUUAAAUAUUUAUAUAAAUUUCUUUUUUAAAAAAUGUAACUUGCGCAACGUCACAAUUGGGUCCUUGUGCAAGCACAUUUUGCGCGACGCACCACCAAAGCGUUACCCAAAGACUGUUUGCACGAUGAAGAUUGCCGUUGCGCAAAACAGCUUUGCGCGACAAAAGUGCACUUAUGUCGCGCAAAGUGGUUUUGCGCUACGUUGUAAUGUAUACAAAUGUUGCGCAAUGUGUUAAAAUUUUGGCGGUAGUUUUGUGAAAAUUAGGCCUUUUUUUUUUAAUUUUCCCAAAUUUGGAGAAAAUGGGAGUGCAACUCAAACUCUCCACCUUCGUCUACUGACUGCUUUUCCUCCUCGGUCUCUCCGUUGGCAUCUUCAUCUGCAUCAUCAUCCUCUCCUUGUUCAUGCCCAUCAAUCUCUCUUCCCUUUCUCACUUGGUCUCUCCCCUUGUUCAUGCCCAUUUAUCUGCAUCAUCAUCCUCCCCGGUCUCGCCGUUUCGAGUCUCGACAGCAAAGGGUUAGUCUCACACUCUCACUUCUCUGUGUUUAAUUUUCUGUUCAAAUUAUUUUCCGUCCAUUAUUUUAUACAGUUUUAGAGGUUUGGUUAGAAUGUUUGCUCUCCGUGGUUGUUUGGAUCUUUGAGAUAGAUAGAUGUAUGUGAGUGGAAAACAUUCAAUUUGGAAAAUUCAAUUAGAAAUUGGGGGUUUUAGUGUUAAAUCGAAUAUUAAGAUGUUGACGGUGCUGCCUUGAAUCUUGAUUUUGCUCAAGUUUUCGACUUUGUGAAGGAGCGCCUGGGCAAAGAGGUUGAGAUGGGUGGCUGCAAAGGACCCAUAACAACAUUCAUUGUUGAACCCUUCAUUCCCCCACAAUGAAGAGUUUUACCUUAAUAUCGUCUCAGACCUACUUGGAAACAGCAUAAGCUUCUCUGAGUGUGGAGGAAGUGAUAUUGAGGAGAACUGGGAUAAGGUAUUUUUGGAUGUCAAUGUGUUACCAAAUUCUUAUUCAUACGCUAUUCCUUGUUAUUUUAAAUAAAAAGAUAAAAAUUCCUAGAAGUGCAUCUUCUAUGAGCUCUAUUCGUCUACCUUAACGCUCCAUAUUUAUAAAAAAAUAUACUUUACGCAAGUUAAGACCAUAUUUGUCCCUACUGGAGUUGCUUUUACAUCAGAAGUUUCUGCUCCACUUGUUGCAACCCUUCCCUUGGAGGUAAGUCUUUUAUUGAUAUGGUAUUUCGGUAUCAUUUCUGUGUACUUUACUUCUGACCAGAAAAAAAGAAAUAAUGUACUCGAUUUUGCUUGCGUCAAUCAUAUGCUAUCUCUCUUGAGUUCAUGUUUCGUUUUAGUUUAAUCUGGAAAUCAUUGACAAGUAUUAUUCUUGAAUAUAGGUCAAAGCAGAACUUGAGGACUUUAUCAAAGCCGUGUUUGCCCUAUUUCAAGAUUUGGAUUUCACUUUUCUGGAGAUGAAUCCUUUUGCAUUGGUUGAUGGAAAGCCAUAUCCUUUGGAUAUGAGAGGCGAGCUGGAUGACACUGCUGCUUUGAAGAACUUCAAAAAGUGGGGCAGUAUUGAAUUUCCAAUGCCUUUUGGAAGAGUUAUGCGUCCUACAGAGAAAUUUAUUCACGGGCUAGAUGAAAGAUUCCCAAUGUGGAGGAAGUGACAACACUAAAAGGUCAGCUUACGACCCAGGGUGAGCAGAUGAGUAUGAUUGUAUGGGCCUUACAGAUGUCCCCAGCCUCCAAAUCCCGAUGCUAGCACCUGAUCUUACCUUCGACCUCCCAACCACUUCGCCCAGCCGAUACCCAGUAGCCUUAUGUAUCAAACCUAGAAGACUACUUGUCUGCUAUUUCAAAGCUAGAGGAGGCUUUGUGGAUUAAUAAUAGGAAAUAUGACGCUCCGUGGUGCUGGGAAAUGCUUAAACUGUUUGCGCAUUAUGCACUCCGGACGAAAAUGAGGCAAGGGUUCCAAAAGAUGUUGCAGUGCUUCCUAAAGGCUUUGAAUGAGUUUGUUCAGAGAAGAGUAUCUCAUUACAAGGAAUUUGAUCCAACAGAACAUUUACUACCCUUAAAAGCAUUUUGUGAACUCCAAGCUCAAGUCAAUCCUUAAUUUUCAUCUACUUUUUAUUUCUCUAUGUUUAGGUGAUUUACAUUGUUUGUAACCAUUAAAUCACCCAACUUUAUAUUUACAAUUGUGUUUCUGAUUGUUGAUGUCAAUUAAAAUACUAUUAUUCAGGUUA